ensembl:lncRNA
AGUUCAGGAAGCCGGAUCCCAAUAUUACCAUUCUCUGAGGGAUCCUUCUGUGUGUUUUACCUCGCCUGUGGGACUCCAGAGCUACUCUGGGAGCUCUGAAAUAGAGGAUUAGGUUCCAAUGUGUGUGAGCAGAAAGAUCUUCAAAUGUCUAGGCUUCAAAUGCUCAAUCACUGCUUUAUUGGACAGUGCUAUGUAUGGAGGUUUUGUUUUGUUUUAAAAGAAUACCACUACAACUGUAUAAAGACAGCAAACUUUCUGUAAGUUUCCAGUGUGUAUGUAUCCCAUCUAUAAGGACUUUAAUAUGGAUAUGAUAAUGACAACCAUUAUUUUACUAACAUUUCCCCAAAUGGGCAAAACUGAGGCGACAUGUGCCACACUGGUUCUGCCAUACUGGCCUUCGGCUGUGUUGGAGAAGUACUGAUAUAAAAACUGAUAUAACUCAUUCAGUUACAUUAAAAGUGCCCAUAAAAUAGAGAAGGCAGCAAGUGAAAACAGAACAAAGGUUGGAGCUGUGUGAAGCAGAGUUUAAAGAAGUUACCUUUUAAAAUUCUUUUCUCAAAUGAAUUGAGAAUGGGAGGAAGGUGCAGGGACAUCUGGAUUUGGGCCCUCCAUUGCCAUCCUGACAUGAAACAGAUUUGGAUUGUUCUUGGAGUCAGCAAAAGGGCGGGUCCACCCCAAGUAAGAAUCAGUUCUCCAAAUAUAAGAUGAUGCAAAACAAAACCACAAAUUAAAUACACAACACUGAAAUCACCGAGAAAAAUGCAAAGAUAUUUAAAAAUAUAAAUAAAUAUAUUUAGCCAUUUUAUUAAACCCAGAGAACUGCUUUCAACCACUUUCUAUAUUCUGUCAUAAAUACUAUUUUGAUUGUCACUUAAUGCAGCACCUCAGUGUUUGCUGGUGGUGGUGAUAGAAUUUCACUUAAUAGUCUCAGAAACUAUGUAACGAUUCCUAUUUCACUAAAGAACAUUUCCCUGGGAAAACCCAGGCAGCUUACAAAACAUUGUUAAAUACUCAAA